rnacentral:rRNA from 1 species
UGGGGAAUAUUGGACAAUGGGCGAAAGCCUGAUCCAGCAAUGCCGUGUGUGUGAAGAAGGCCUUCGGGUUGUAAAGCACUUUUAGUGGGGAAGAAAAGUUCAUGGCUAAUAUCCAUGAAUGCUGACGUUACCCACAGAAAAAGCACUGGCUAACUCUGUGCCAGCAGCCGCGGUAAUACAGAGAGUGCAAGCGUUAAUCGGAAUUACUGGGCGUAAAGCGCACGUAGGUGGAUGUUUAAGUCGGAUGUGAAAUCCCCGAGCUUAACUUGGGAAUUGCAUUCGAUACUGGGCGUCUAGAAUAUGGUAGAGGGAAGUGGAAUUUCUGGUGUAGCGGUGAAAUGCGUAGAUAUCAGAAGGAACAUCAGUGGCGAAAGCGGCUUCCUGGACCAAUAUUGACACUUAGGUGCGAAAGCGUGGGGAGCAAACAGG